AGAACGAACGCUGGCGGCAUGCCUAAUACAUGCAAGUCGAACGAACACUUCGGUGUUAGUGGCGCACGGGUGCGUAACGCGUGGGAAUCUGCCCUUGGGUUCGGAAUAACAGUUGGAAACGACUGCUAAUACCGGAUGAUGACGAAAGUCCAAAGAUUUAUCGCCCAGGGAUGAGCCCGCGUAGGAUUAGCUAGUUGGUGAGGUAAAGGCUCACCAAGGCGACGAUCCUUAGCUGGUCUGAGAGGAUGAUCAGCCACACUGGGACUGAGACACGGCCCAGACUCCUACGGGAGGCAGCAGUAGGGAAUAUUGGACAUGGGCNCAAGCCUGAUCCAGCAAU
rnacentral:rRNA from 1 species